GGGCCCGCACAAGCGGUGGAGCAUGUGGUUUAAUUCGAUGCAACGCGAAGAACCUUACCUACUCUUGACAUCCAGAGAAGCCAGCGGAGACGCAGGUGUGCCUUCGGGAACUCUGAGACAGGUGCUGCAUGGCUGUCGUCAGCUCGUGUUGUGAAAUGUUGGGUUAAGUCCCGCAACGAGCGCAACCCUUGUCCUUGUUUGCCAGCGAGUAAUGUCGGGAACUCCAGGGAGACUGCCGGUGAUAAACCGGAGGAAGGUGGGGACGACGUCAAGUCAUCAUGGCCCUUACGAGUAGGGCUACACACGUGCUACAAUGGCGCAUACAGAGGGCAGCAAGCUAGCGAUAGUGAGCGAAUCCCAAAAAGUGCGUCGUAGUCCGGAUUGGAGUCUGCAACUCGACUGCGUGAAGCUGGAAUCGCUAGUAAUCG
rnacentral:rRNA from 1 species